AUGUAGCUCCACUGACAAACAGCGAAAAUGCUGCGCAUGCGCUUUUGUACCUUUUGGAAUGUGAAACUUUAUUGAGACUUAACAGUGACGUGUCCGCUGCGUCAGUGAGUCAGCUUUGAAGCCAUGAGGCUGCUCAGCACUCUGCUCUUCUUGGUGGCUGCCACUUGCCCCCUGAUCCAUGCCACGCUCUCCAAGACAGACUCCAAGAAAGCGGCUUCCAAAGCACCUGAGACCAAGACUCGUCUGUCUGACACCUUGGUACAGACCCGUGGGCUGGUUUCCACUGACGUCAAAGCUAAGGACAUUGUGCUGGAACACAGGAGUUACUGUGCCAAGAAGCUGAAGGAGAGGCACGUCUCUGCUGAUGUACUGGGAUAUGUCACGCCAUGGAACGGCCAUGGCUACGAUAUCGCCAAGACAUUUGCGGCCAAAUUUACCCUCAUUUCUCCAGUUUGGCUGCAGAUAAAGAGGAAAGGCAAAGAGGCCUAUCACAUUACUGGGCUUCAUGAUGUAGAUCAAGGAUGGAUAAAGGACAUUAGGAAGACGUCCAAGAGCACUCAGAUUGUUCCACGCAUCCUAUUUGAUGGUUGGUCUUAUCAGGACUUUGAGAGUGUGUUCAGCAGCGAAGAUGAGAUAGAAGAGCUUGCCGGUGCCAUGGUGCAGACUGCAAAGGAUGAGCGCUUUGACGGCUUCGUAGUGGAGGUUUGGAGUCAACUGGGCGGGCAGAAGCGGCAGGAGCUGGUUCACCUGCUGACACACAUCGGGGAAGCCCUGCGCUUGGCAAAGCUCCGCUUUAUCCUUGUUAUUCCUCCUGCUCUAGCUCCAGGCACUGAUCAUUUGGGCAUGUUUGGGAGGAAAGAGUUUGACCAGUUGGCGCCUGUUGUGGACAGCUUCAGCCUCAUGACAUAUGACUAUUCAAGUCCCCAAAGACCUGGCCCUAAUUCGCCCAUCACCUGGGUACAAGCAUGCAUACAGCUACUGGAUCCUGAAUCCAAAUGGAGAAAGAAAAUCCUGCUGGGGUUACACUUUUAUGGAAUGGAUUACUCUGCGCUUGGUGCAUCCGGGGAGCCCAUCCUAGGAAACAGAUACAUUGAGAUCCUGAAGGAGCACAAGCCAAAGCUUCUGUGGGACCAACAAAUAGCUGAACAUUACUUGGAAUAUAAAAACCUGUAUUCCAUGGUGUGAAGAUUAGAGUACACAGCAGGUCAGAUGAUUCUAAGCUUUUUUUUAAUUGGGGACUUUUCUGUUGAGUUUCAUCGAUAUGGUUUAACCAACAUUCCUAACAUAAUAGGAAAGAUAUUAUAGCGAGGGUCUCACUGCCUUAUGAUGAGAUUUUUUUUUAUUAUUUUUCAGAAACAAAGGUGGAAAACAUGCUGUUUUUUUCCCAACACUGAAGUCUAUACAAGUACGCCUGGAUCUUGCUGAAGAACUGGGCACCGGAAUAUCCAUCUGGGAACUGGGCCAAGGGUUGGACUAUUUCUACGACCUUCUAUGAUUCCAAACAAGCUGCAUCCACCAGGGCAGUAAUAGCCAAAAUAUGUCCGGAAACUGCAUCAUGUGACAGAAUGGACCUUUAAUUCUUUGGGGGAAGCGAUGCCAAACUAAAUUCCAGAGCAACACUGAUGUGUGUAGCAGCCUUCUCUGGCAUUCAAGGAGUUAGUAUGGGCAAGCCUUAUAAUGGCCCAGCCUUGAUUAAUGGGUAUAAUUUGAAAUAACCAUGUUUUCAGUCCAUUUUGGAUCUGUUCUACAACAAACUGGUCCCUAUGCCUGGCCAGCCAGCAGUAACCAUAGAUCGACUCUCUGACUGAUCCUCCUGUCCAUACCAAAUGCCUUAGAACCUGACUGUAACCUCAGAUCUUCCACUCUCAGCACUGGAGAACUUGAAUGAGCUCCUUUCUAAUCUGAAAUUCACUGUUUUUUUUCCAAAGGUUCAUUAAAAAUGAGAUACAUCUCUCUAAAUAUUA